rnacentral:rRNA from 1 species
CUACGCCUGCAUGAAGCUGGAAUUGCUAGUAAUCAUAGGUCAGCAUACUAUGGUGAAUACGUUCCCGGGCCUUGUACACACCGCCCGUCACACCAUGAGAGUUGAGAAUACCCGAAGUCCAUGUCAAAGUGGCCGAAGGUAGGCUUGAUGAUUGGGGUGAAGUCGUAACAAGGUACC